CUCAAACCCUGGGUAGAUGAAACAUCCUUUUUCAAGUGGGGAAACUGCAGAAACUCUGAGAAAAAUCAUCAAUGAGAAUCACCUGUCAUUGAAAGUGGGAGGACACUUGACACUAUGGGAGAGUGCAAAGAACAGAGAGUGAUUGGCAGGAGGAGGAGAGUCUGACGGAGGAGCAGAGGAAUGUUGGCAGCCAUUUAGUCUGAGCUCAACAACGGAGGAAACAUGGAUUCUUCACAAAAAAAAUGUAAACACAGCAAUGGAGUGAGAUGUCGGACCUCUGAGGAGGAUAAGGAUGGUUCAGCAACAACAGCAAAAAGAGAUGAAUCACUCAGUUGUGAGCAAUGUGGCAAGACUUUUAUCACAGCAACAAAGCUCAGAAUUCACAAACGUAUUCACACUGUGGAGAAACCAUUCAGCUGUGAUCAGUGUGGAAAAGCUUUUACUCUGAAGUGUAAUCUAGCAACACAUCAACUCAUUCACAGUGGAGGUAAACCAUUCAGCUGUGAUCAGUGUGGAAAGGCUUUUACUCAGAAGUGGAGCUUAAAAAGACAUCAACUCAUUCACAGUGGAGUUAAAACAUUCAGCUGUGAUCAGUGUGGAAAGGCUUUUAAUCAGAAGAGUCAUCUGGCAAAUCAUCAACUCAUUCACAGUGGAGUGAAAUUGUUCAGCUGUGAUCAGUGUGAGAAGUCUUUUACACACAAGCGUGCGUUAAAAAGACAUCAACUAAUUCACAGUGAAGUUAAACCAUUCAGCUGUGAUCAAUGUGGAAAGGCUUUUACUCUGAAGAGUCAGUUAAAAAGUCAUCAACUCAUGCACAGUGAAGUUAAACCAUUCAGCUGUGAUCAAUGUGGAAAGGCUUUUACUCUGAAGAGUCAGUUAAAAAGUCAUCAACUUAUGCACAGUGGAGUUAAACCAUUCAGCUGUGAUCACUGUGGAAAGGCUUUUACUCUGAAGAGUCAGUUAAAAAGUCAUCAACUCAUUCACAGUGGAGUUAAACCAUUCAACUGUGAUCAGUGUGUGAAAACCUUUACCCAACAUGAACAGUUGUUGAUCCAUCAAUGCCCCCGUUCUGGUAGAAAGCGGUACCACUGUGACUCCUGUGAAAAAACUUUCAAGCACCAACAGAGCUUAAAAUGUCACCAACGCAUCCACACUGGCCAUGAUGUGUGGAUAUGUGAUCACUGUGGGAAACUAUUUGUAAUGUACUCACAGUUAAAAGCUCAUGAAGUGACCCACACUGGGGUUAAACCAUACAUUUGUGACCAGUGUGGGAAACGCUACAGCUCCAAUGCAAAACUCAAAAUUCACCAACGUGUCCACACUGGGGAGAGACCAUACAGAUGUGAUGAGUGUAAGAAGACUUUUACAACUUUGGGUUCCCUGAAACGACACCAGCAGAUCCACACCAGAAAGAAAGCAUUCAAUCAGUGUCACAGUGAGAACAGAACAGAUGGACAACACCCUCAGACUUGUCAGCACUCUUCCAAUGGUGAACAGUGCUGCUUUGACCAGUCUGGACCAACGUCCAACCAACAGGGAACCCUACAACGACACCAGCGUAUGCACACUGGACACAGACUGAACCCCUGCCAAGAAGAUUUCUCCAUGCAGGGUUCAGUAAAAGUUCAUGAAGUCCUCCACAAACUUAAAGUCCUUGAGAUCCGGCUUCACAGAAUUCAGGUCUAAUUUCUUGUUUAGUGUCUUCAUUGCUUCGUUGCAAAAUCCAUUAAGAGGAAAGCUGUCGUUGACAGACGUGACUGGUAAAUUAAUGAAACCAUUCAAAGUGGUUACUCAGUUAAAUGCAGGGCUUAAAGUUUUCCGGCGCAUGGAAAUGUACCAUUUAAAAAAAUUCAUCCAUCUCCGUCCCGAAGGCUCCAAGCAUGUGCGUCAUUGUGCAUUCAGUUGCUCCGCUUUAAUCAAUCAAACUCCAAAUCCUACAUUAAAAAAUAUACACCUUCUGUCCAGG